rnacentral:rRNA from 1 species
GCCUAAUACAUGCAAGUCGAGCGAACAGACGAGGAGCUUGCUUCUCUGACGUUAGCGGCGGACGGGUGAGUAACACGUGGAUAACCUACCUAUAAGACUGGGAUAACUUCGGGAAACCGGAGCUAAUACCGGAUAAUAUAUUGAACCGCAUGGUUCAAUAGUGAAAGACGGUUUUGCUGUCACUUAUAGAUGGAUCCGCGCCGCAUUAGCUAGUUGGUAAGGUAACGGCUCACCAAGGCAACGAUGCGUAGCCGACCUGAGAGGGUGAUCGGCCACACUGGAACUGAGACACGGUCCAGACUCCUACGGGAGGCAGCAGUAGGGAAUCUUCCGCAAUGGGCGAAAGCCUGACGGAGCAACGCCGCGUGAGUGGUGAAGGUCUUCGGAUCGUAAAACUCUGUUAUUAGGGAAGAACAAAUGUGUAAGUAACUAUGCACGUCUUGACGGUACCUAAUCAGAAAGCCACGGCUAACUACGUGCCAGCAGCCGCGGUAAUACGUAGGUGGCAAGCGUUAUCCGGAAUUAUUGGGCGUAAAGCGCGCGUAGGCGGUUUUUUAAGUCUGAUGUGAAAGCCCACGGCUCAACCGUGGAGGGUCAUUGGAAACUGGAAAACUUGAGUGCAGAAGAGGAAAGUGGAAUUCCAUGUGUAGCGGUGAAAUGCGCAGAGAUAUGGAGGAACACCAGUGGCGAAGGCGACUUUCUGGUCUGUAACUGACGCUGAUGUGCGAAAGA